rnacentral:lncRNA from 1 species
GAGGAAAUUUUUGGAGGGGCACAAUUGAGAGCUUAGGUAUGGAUAACAAACAAAAUUCUAAAGGCUAUUUUUUCAUAUUGUGAUUGGUGUAUGUACCCUAGAAGAUGUAUCCGUAGUAUCAAAAGUUAGAUCUUUGGAGGGCAAUCAUAUGCUGGUGUUUCAGGUAGGGGGCAAAAAAGGGCGGCUUUUUAGAUGCAUAACGGUUAAAAAAGGGCUCUAUUUUUUGUUAUCUUCAUUUUUUCUACAUGUACAGUGUCAUUGGUACUCUUGGUACUCUUUUUGUUUUGCAGGGUGAAAGGUUGUUGUCCAGUUCUCUUUUUGGUAUAAUCUUUGUUGGUACCGGUAUUGGCAUAUGGUCAUAUCGAUACCAGAGAAGAUCUUGGAGUAUGAAGGAGCUGGAAGGAGAAGAUGCAGAAAUAGAAGAAUCUACAGCAGAUGCAAAGUACAGGUGAAGGGAAAGGUUAUGCAAAAAUGGAUUGCAUGGAAACCGUGGAGUACACAUAGCAUGCAAGGAAGAGGGAAUGAAAAUGGCUUUGCAUAUUUGGAAAGGGUUCUUACCUAUGACAAUGCCAACGGUCACAAGAGGCAACUGGCUAGCCAGGUGCAAGUGUGGAAACUAGUCAUAGGAAUAACUAUCUAAAAUGCAGUGUUUUUGUUUGGUAUUGCAUAUCAAUUGAAACAGUAUGUGGUAAGGUAGAAUACAAGGAAAGAUCAUCAAUGGUUGUAUGAGUAAAAUUGUUUUUGUGUAUUAUGGAAUCUGGGCAUCUUCUUUGGUAUAAAGUUUAGUUCCUAGCUCUAUGAAAGUAUUAAGAUUAAUGUAGGUAGUGUUUUUUGGGAGAUAUUUGGUGGGAUUUUUGUGGUGUUUGGACUAUCGGCAGAUUGAAAUGGUAUUUUGUAUAAGGGUUAGGGUAUCCCUAAAAUACCCUCAUUUAAUUUAUUUUUUCUUUGCUGAUAAAAAACAUUGAAGAUACAAACAUUUA